UCUUAAUGCCCCCUAAAAGUCCAUGUGCCCCAAUGCUUAGUUGCUAGUCUGUGGCACUAUUGGGAGAUAGUGGGACCUUCAGGAGUGAGGUCUAAUGGAAGAAAGUUAGGCCAUGGAGGGUAUGCCCUUGAAGGAGGUACUGGAUCCUCAGCCUCCUCAAUUUUCUCUUUUACUUUACAGCCACCAUGAGGUGAUCAUCCUCCUCUGUCAUGUACCCCCACCAUGAUUACUUACUGCGCCAUCACAGACCCAAAGCAACAUGGUCAAAUCACCAGAGAUUGAAACUCAUGGGAACCAAAGUAAACCUUUCCUCCUUUUAAGUUAAUUAUCUCAGUUAUCUUUUUCCAGUGACAGAAAGCUAACACAGAUGCUUUUUCCUUUUCUUGCUCAAGAUGGAGGUACUCUACAUGUACAUUACAGAAGAUGGUGGAAUCCUCCACCUUGAUGAUAAAUCCCAUGGGGAGCUAGACAGAAGCCAAGAUUUUGCAGAACUCAGAGGACUAUGGAUUUUGGAUAGAGGAGUUUUAUUGAGAAGGACAAAAGGAAUUGCACAAACAUGUUCCUAAAAAGAAAUCUACAUAGACUGGAUGGUGUGAAAACUGGAAUAUCAGCAAUGUCUUGCCUGCUUGGGUAAAACCAGAAAAAAGAGAAUCCUACUUCUGUAAGUAACAUGCCUAAAAGGAAAUCCUUUGAAAAGCCAUGAUUCUUUCUAUGUAUUUCUUUUCAGGGGAAUUAAAAUAUUAAAAUACCAGCUGAAGUAUAUAUAUACACACACACACACAACAUCAAACAUACACAUGAUAGGGAAUUAUAACUGAUUUUGCUGUGUUUUAAACAGAAACAUGUAGACUGAUUCUUUUUAUUACUGUUUGAAAAAAAAGUGGUGAGAAUACUACAGUGCAACUAGAGAAUACCAAUGUGAAAGGAUCGAUCUAAUUUACCUUAGGUACAGUCCUUGUUUAGGAGAAUUUAUUUAAUUGGCAACCUAAUUUGGGUGGAGAGGCAUUUUAAUUGAAAUUGAUUACUGUGGGAUUUUUACAUGCACUAUGACGCAUUGUGAGUUACAGCAACACAUGAUGUAAAAUUGGGUAAUUUAAAGCUGUAUAUGUUUUUUAUCCCAACUAUAAUGAAAUUUGCUGAGAAUUGCUUAUUAAUUGGAGUCUUU
rnacentral:lncRNA from 1 species